rnacentral:rRNA from 1 species
CCUACGGGGGGCAGCAGUGAGGAAUAUUGGUCAAUGGGCGGGAGCCUGAACCAGCCAAGUCGCGUGAGGGAAGACGGUCCUAUGGAUUGUAAACCUCUUUAGGCGGGGAGCAAUGCCGGGCACGCGUGCCCGGAGGGAGAGUACCCGCAGAAUAAGCAUCGGCUAACUCCGUGCCAGCAGCCGCGGUAAUACGGAGGAUGCGAGCGUUAUCCGGAUUUAUUGGGUUUAAAGGGUGCGUAGGCGGUUUGAUAAGUUAGAGGUGAAAUACCGGUGCUCAACACCGGAACUGCCUCUAAUACUGUUGAACUAGAGAGUAGUUGCGGUAGGCGGAAUGUAUGGUGUAGCGGUGAAAUGCUUAGAGAUCAGGAGGAACACCGGCGGCGAAGGCGGCCUGCUGGACCGUAACUGACGUUGAGGCUCGAAAGCGUGGGGAGCAAACAGGAUUAGAUACCCCGGUAGUC